AGUGAACGCUGGCGGUAGGCCUAACACAUGCAAGUCGAACGGCAGCACAGUAAGAGCUUGCUCUUACGGGUGGCGAGUGGCGGACGGGUGAGGAAUACAUCGGAAUCUACUUUUUCGUGGGGGAUAACGUAGGGAUACUUACGCUAAUACCGCAUACGACCUACGGGUGAAAGCAGGGGAUCUUCGGACCUUGCGCGAUUGAAUGAGCCGAUGUCGGAUUAGCUAGUUGGCGGGGUAAAGGCCCACCAAGGCGACGAUCCGUAGCUGGUCUGAGAGGAUGAUCAGCCACACUGGAACUGAGACACGGUCCAGACUCCUACGGGAGGCAGCAGUGGGGAAUAUUGGACAAUGGGCGCAAGCCUGAUCCAGCCAUACCGCGUGGGUGAAGAAGGCCUUCGGGUUGUAAAGCCCUUUUGUUGGGAAAGAAAAGCAGCAGGUUAAUACCCCGCUGUUCUGACGGUACCCAAAGAAUAAGCACCGGCUAACUUCGUG
rnacentral:rRNA from 1 species